UUGCCAGACUCCUACGGGAGGCAGCAGUGGGGAAUAUUGGGCAAUGGGCGCAAGCCUGACCCAGCAACGCCGCGUGAAGGAAGAAGGCUUUCGGGUUGUAAACUUCUUUUAAGAGGGAAGAGAAGAAGACGGUACCUCUUGAAUAAGCCACGGCUAACUACGUGCCAGCAGCCGCGGUAAUACGUAGGUGGCAAGCGUUAUCCGGAUUUAUUGGGUGUAAAGGGCGUGUAGGCGGGAAUGCAAGUCAGAUGUGAAAACUAUGGGCUCGACCCAUAGCCUGCAUUUGAAACUGUAUUUCUUGAGUGCUGGAGAGGCAAUCGGAAUUCCGUGUGUAGCGGUGAAAUGCGUAGAUAUACGGAGGAACACCAGUGGCGAAGGCGGAUUGCUGGACAGUAACUGACGCUGAGGCGCGAAAGCGUGGGGAGCAAACAGGAUUAGAUACCCCCGUA
rnacentral:rRNA from 1 species